UACGGAGGGUGCGAGCGUUGUCCGGAAUCACUGGGCGUAAAGGGCGCGUAGGCGGUCUGUUAAGCGUGCGGUGAAAGCCUGGGGCUCAACCCCAGGUCUGCCGUGCGAACUGGCGGACUAGAGCACUGUAGAGGCAGGUGGAAUUCCGGGUGUAGCGGUGGAAUGCGUAGAGAUCCGGAAGAACACCGGUGGCGAAAGCGGCGCACUGGACCAUAACUGACGCUGAGGCGCGAAAGCUAGGGGAGCAAACAGG
rnacentral:rRNA from 1 species